rnacentral:lncRNA from 1 species
GAGCCCACUCACAGCCCCCAGUGGUGGAAAGCCAAGCUUCCCUCUGUUGUCCCUGCUGCCUGUAGAUCACACAAGAGGCACCAUAUGAGACUUAGCAUCCCACUGCCCUUAGCCCACACAAGAGGUGCCAAGCCACCCAUAGUCUUCACAAGGAGCACCUGGUCUCCUGUAGCCUGAGCAAGUGGCUUCUCACCAAACUUAGCCUGCAUCAGAGGUGCCCUGCCCUCUUAGAGCCACAAGUGCACACCUUAUGUCAAGAGUUCCUUGCCCUUUUUGGAGGUUUAAGUUCUUCUGCCAGUGUUCAGUAGAUAUUCUGUGUGAAUUGUUUCACAUGUAGAUGUGUUUGUGGGAGAAGGUGUGCAUGAUGUCUUACUUCUCUACCAUCUUGAUCCUUCUUCUCAAAAAUUACUUUUCUAUUCUGAUGUCUCAUAUGCCUAGAUAGAGGCAAAUGUAAUUGAUGUUAAGAAGUCUUUAUUUGAUUAGAUUUUGAAAAAAAUAUUUAAGUCUUUCGGGAAAAUAUUUAGUUGUCAUUUGUCAAUUUAAAUAUCAAAGCAAAAUCAGGAGUUCCCAUUGUGGCUCAGCAGUAAUGAACCCAACCAGUAUCCAUGAUGAUAUGGGUUCAAUCCUUGGCCCUAUUCAGUGGGUUAAGGAUCUAGCAUUGCUAUCAGCUAUGGUGUAGAUUGUAGAUGUGGCUCAGAUCUGGCAUUGCUAUGGCUGUGGUGUAGGCCAGUGGCUACAGCUCCAAUUUGACUCCUAGCCUGGGAACUUCCAUAUGCCUCAGGUACGGCCCUAAAAAUAAACAAAGAAACAAAUAAAUACAAAAGUAAAGUCAGUGUUUUUUCAGUAAUCUGUACAAAAUUUGUAAUUUUGAUAUAGUAGCCUAUAUGCAGGUUGGCCUGAAAACUGUUGCUGAUUGUAAGUAAUUCAGACUUUACAGGUCAUACAGUGAUGUAUUUCCUUAGUUCCUGGGAUCUGGCACUCUAACAAACUCUUAGAGCUGAAGCAGGAGCAGCCGUUUUUAUUAAAUAAAAAAAAAUCAUGUUAUACAAAGAACAAAACAAUUGCUUAGACAAGGGAUGUAAGAAUUUAGUUAUAUCUGACUCAAAUGAAAAUGAAAUAAGCUAAUUUUGAUUCAAAGCUGCAGACUUUGCCUAGUUGUGAAAUGAAGGGUUUGCGAGGUUGUUGUCAUGGCAACCAGCACUGAGGGAGCUAAGCUUUGAGUGUCCUUGUCCUCCAUCACUGUCAGGUUAGAGAUCCCCUAUCUGGAGGAAUGGUGUUGGCGAGUUGGUAGGAAGAAAUCACCACUUACCAACAUUAAAUCUGUCCUUCAUAUAUUAACUCAUAGUUAUGAUUCUUACGUUACUAUCAGGUAACAAAUUGGAACUACUUCCAAUAGAAAACCAAAAGCUUUGGGGGUCUUUUUCUGCCUUUUAAAAAUACUUUGCUAGGGAUUUUCUCAAUUCAUUGCAUUUCUACACAGACCUCUGUUUACUUUGGGGAGCAAUUAGUUCUGGUCUUGCAGAAAUACAGUAAGGUGAUUUCCCUUCACUUACCUCUCUAUCCCUGACUUAGUUAUUCCCUUAACAGCACCAUAUAGUCAACAUGUUAAGAAAAAUUGAUGGCACAAUGAUUUUCUCAAGGUAGGGAAGAGAUUGAGGGGAUAUACAAUCUCUCUUUCAGAAGGUUUUCCGGAAGCUCCUUUAAGUAAAGAUGAGACCUACUGCUGUUGAAAGUCUCUUUAAGGAGCUGGCAGUAGUUUCUGAAACAGAAUUUUCAUUGAGAAUUUUCCAAAUCUUUCUCCCUACUUCUCUUCUACUAUUCACCUCCUUUUCUCCAUCAUCGCAAGAGUAAGUAUAAAAUGAACUCCUGUAGAUUGUUUGUUAACAUGGCUUAAUGACAGUUAACAUAGGAAAGAAUGUUGGAAACAUUUACAAAGUGGAAUAAUAGCAAUAAUAAUUUCCAAGCCUUUAAUGUGAGAUUUUACGCUAAACACUUUAUAUACUAAUAGUUCUUUUAAUUCUCAGUAAUCUAAUAAAAGAUAUUUUCAUCUUCAUAUAAAAAUGAAGAAAUUGAGUCUUAGGAAGGUUUAACAACUUGUUACACAGUCCAUAACUAGCAUGCAUCAGAACUAGAACUCAAAGAUUUUUUUGGCUCCCAAGUCUGUGGUUGUUAACUACUCUAUUGCCUUCAAGUCUUUAGGAAGUUGUUAGAUUGAUGUUAAUGUGACACUUUUCUUCUGAAUAACUGUCUAUUUCUUAUUAGACAAAAAUCAUAUCAAAUACCUACUGUUAUCACUGAUAAAGAGUCAGAUUUUCGUUUCAGAGGCUUUCUCUCACUCAAUGUAAGGAAGGAUCGUUCCUGGAAGUAGUGUCUCAUGUAGUAGGGAAAGGGCACUGAUUGGAAACCUAUUAAAACCACAUUUGAAUAACAAGGAAGGGGAGGAAGGAAAACUCUCAGAUAUGUUUAUUAAAAAUAUAAAGUCCAUAUAUUAAAAUAUCAUAGACAAUGCAGAUUAUCUGAAGAAUUAUAUUACUAUCAAAGUUUUGGCAAUAGAUUUCCAAUGGUCUUGGUCUCGAUAUCUUGGGGAAACUGUCUCAUCAGAUGUUGUUUGUUUUAAUUCUUGAUAACCUUUACUUUCAAUUUAUCAGAUAAUGUGCAGGUCUACUCAGGGCUGAGUGCUUUCUUUACAUGUGUCAUGUGAAUCCAAGAGUCUAUUCCUUGGAGUUUGGUGGUAUAAAUACUGAUUAGCAGUACUUGAUAUGGGCCUUCCCAAUGAGGUUGGAGAGAGUUCUUCUAGAGAUAUCUUUUCAAGCAGAUGAAAUUUCCAGAUUGCAAGGGUGAUACUUAACAUUUUUGUCUUCUGAGGGCACACCGUGAAAAGACUGCUCUAUCAAAACAAGGCUACUUUUAAUAGAAGCAGUUACACCUUUGCAAUAUUGGAGUAUGUCUCUUUUUAUCAGUUGUGGGUCCAAAGAAGCAUGAGGUAAGGCAUUGGAUGUCCUAUGACUAUAUGAAGGGAUGAGAGCUUAUGAGUUCCAAAAGGGCUGAUCUGAGAUUUAGGACCAAGGGCCAAGGUUUUUGGAAGACCUCUACAAAUUUCCCACUUGAGUCAUAAUAAUACUGUUAGCAUAUUAACUCAGAGAAUUGAGAAUGCUAAGAACAAUGAAGGUAUUGUAAAAUCAGCCAAACAUCGAAGACUUAUUGAGGCACCUGGACAGUAGAAUGGGUUCCUCCAUCAUUACGAAGUUGAAGAAGAGUUCCCCAGAUAAAGGUAAUCUUUCCUAAAAGGGGUUUAGCUACAGAAGAGAAAGUAGCCUGUCUUUAAGAGAAGGCUUUAGUCCAGUAUGAAAACAUUCAUACCAUGACUAAAAUAUAUUUACAUCCAUGAGACAGAGGAAGCUGUUUGAAAUCCAUCUUCUAGAUCUUGAAUGGUCCAUUAGCUGGUUUAUCAUGUCUGGGAGCAGUAAUGAACAGGCUUCCCUGGGUUAUACUUUGAACAAGUGAGGAAGGUACUUUUUGUAAUCUUGUUAAUGUUUCCUCACCAAUAUUCAUUCAAGAAAGCUAGCAUUUUUUUGUCAGUAACCAAGUGGUUUAAUACAUGUGCAAUGGUAAAGAGUGGGAAUUUUAAAGUCUCCAGUAGGAUGGGGUUAUUUGUUCCAAACCUGAAUUGUUUUUUGUUUUUUUUUUUUUAAUCAAACUAACAAUCAUGAAAUUUCCAAUCUUGUUUUUCCUUUUCUGAGGCCAUUUGUUGGGCCUUUCUAGCCAGUUUUACUAAGUUAUCAUUUGGGGAAAUAUCCCUUUGUAGCAGGACAGAGGUUUGGCUGCUAUUAAUUCUUUAAUCACAGCAUUUCUUGCAGAAAUACAGUAAGGUGAUUUCCCUUCACUUCUAGAGAGUAGAGUUUAGAAUGUCCCGAAAUUUUAAUAAUAGCUUAAGUAGCAGGUAAAAGUAUUGCUUUAAAUAGGGAUAACUGUUAAUUUUAUUUCUACUGGAAGUUGGGAAGACUGUUGCUUCCACAACAUUCCAAAAUCAUGGGGUGCUCCAAAAUCAUAUCUACCGUCAGUAUACAUAUUGGCAGUUUUGUCCUUAACUAAAGUACAAGCCCACUUAAGAGCAUAUAAUUCAGCAUGUUGGACUGAAGUAGCCAUAGGUAAAGAUAGAGCCUCAACUAUAUCAAAAGAAGUUGUAACACCAAGCAUGCCCAGCAUAAUAUUCAUCAUUGUCACCUUAUAAUAAGAACCACCAGUGAACAAUGAGAAGUCAGCAAUACCCAAUUAAAUUUCUUGUAGAUCAUUAUGAGGAGCCAAGGGAUGGUCUUUCAGUGCUAAGUAGUCAUGACAUACUUUGUUGGUAACAGACAAAGCAGGGGAGAGAAGCAUGCUUAGGUUAUUACAAAGUAUAAGACUUAUGUAUGUGGCAGUUAACAAAAGGACUUCAUAGGAGGUGAGGUGACUACCUGGAGAUGUUGUGAUGAGAAUUCAGGAGAGCUUCUACUGAAUGAGGUACAAAAAUGGCUAGA